UGGUAGUNCACGCCCUAAACGAUGUCGAUUAGCUGUUGGGCAACUUGAUUGCUUAGUAGCGUAGCUAACGCGUGAAAUCGACCGCCUGGGGAGUACGGUCGCAAGAUUAAAACUCAAAGGAAUUGACGGGGACCCGCACAAGCGGUGGAUGAUGUGGAUUAAUUCGAUGCAACGCGAAGAACCUUACCUGGUCUUGACAUGUACGGAAGAACUCAGAGACGAGUUUGUGCCUUCGGGAGCCGUAACACAGGUGCUGCAUGGCUGUCGUCAGCUCGUGUCGUGAGAUGUUGGGUUAAGUCCCGCAACGAGCGCAACCCUUGUCAUUAGUUGCCAUCAUUUAGUUGGGCACUCUAAUGAGACUGCCGGUGACAAACCGGAGGAAGGUGGGGAUGACGUCAAGUCCUCAUGGCCCUUAUGACCAGGGCUUCACACGUCAUACAAUGGUCGGUACAGAGGGUAGCCAAGCCGCGAGGUGGAGCCAAUCCCAGAAAACCGAUCGUAGUCCGGAUUGCACUCUGCAACUCGAGUGCAUGAAGUCGGAAUCGCUAGUAAUCGCAGGUCAGCAUACUGCGGUGAAUACGUUCCCGGGUCUUGUACACACCGCCCGUCACACCAUGGGAGUGGGGGAUACCAGAAGUAGGUAGG
rnacentral:rRNA from 1 species